rnacentral:rRNA from 1 species
GAUGAACGCUGGCGGCGUGCCUAAUACAUGCAAGUCGAGCGAACGGACGAGAAGCUUGUUUUCCUGCUGUUAGCGGCGGACGGGUGAGUAACACGUGGAUAACCUUCUUCUAUGACUGGGAUAAUUUCGGGAAACCGGUGCUAAUACUGCAUAAUAUUUUCUACCGCAUGGUUCAAAAGUGCUAGACGGCUUUGCCGUCUCUUAUAGCUGGAUCCGCGUUGCAUUAGCUAGUUGGUAAGGUACCGGCUUACCAAGGCGACGAUGCGUAGCCGGCCUGAGAGGAUGAUCAGCCACACUGGAACUGAGACACGGUCCAGACUCCUACGGGAGGCAGCAGUGGGGAAUCUUCCACAAUGGGCGAAAGCCUGACGGAGCAACACCGCGUGGGUGAUGAAGGUCUUCGGAUCGUAAAGCUCUGUUAUUAGGAAAGAACAUAUGUAUAUGAAACUGUGCACAUCUUGACGGUACCUAAACAGAAAGCCACGGCUAACUUCGUG